UGGAUAAGACAUGCAAGUCGAACGGAAGUACUCGGUAGCAAUACUGGUUGCUUUAGUGGCGCACGGGUGAGUAACACGUGAGUUACAUGCCCUGCAGCGGGGAAUAGCCCGCCGAAAGGCGGAUUAAUACCCCAUGGCCCCGCAAGGGUAAAGGCGGCGAAAGCUGCCACUGCAGGAUUGGCUCGCGGCCUAUCAGCUUGUUGGCGGGGUAACGGCCCACCAAGGCGACGACGGGUACCUGGUCUGAGAGGACGAUCAGGCACACUGGAACUGAGACACGGUCCAGACACCUACGGGUGGCAGCAGUCGAGAAUCAUUCACAAUGGGGGCAACCCUGAUGGUGCAACGCCGCGUGGAGGAUGACGGUCCUCGGAUUGUAAACUCCUGUCAUCUGGGAGUAAGACCUGACGGUCAAUAGCCGGCAGGGUUGAUAGUACCAGAAGAGGAAGGGACGGCUAACUUCGUGCCAGCAGCCGCGGUAAUACGAAGGUCCCAAGCGUUGUUCGGAAUCACUGGGCGUAAAGGGUGCGUAGGCGGCAUGGUAAGUCAGAUGUGAAAUCCCGGGGCUCAACCCCGGAACUGCAUCCGAUACUGCCUUGCUAGAGGACCGGAGAGGAGAUUGGAAUUCUCGGUGUAGCAGUGAAAUGCGUAGAGAUCGAGAGGAACACUCGUGGCGAAGGCGAGUCUCUGGACGGUUCCUGACGCUGAGGCACGAAGGCCGGGGUAGCG
rnacentral:rRNA from 1 species